UACCAGCACCCCGAGUGGUCGGGACGAUUAUUGGGCCUAAAGCAUCCGUAGCCGGUCCUACAAGUCCUCCGUUAAAUCCACCUGCUCAACAGAUGGGCUACGGAAGAUACUAUAGGGCUAGGAGGCGGGAGAGGCAAGCGGUACUCAGUGGGUAGGGGUAAAAUCCGUUGAUCCAUUGAAGACCACCAGUGGCGAAGGCGGCUUGCCAGAACGCGCUCGACGGUGAGGGAUGAAAGCUGGGGGAGCAAACCGG
rnacentral:rRNA from 1 species